rnacentral:rRNA from 1 species
UACGGAGGGGGCUAGCGUUGUUCGGAAUUACUGGGCGUAAAGCGCACGUAGGCGGCUUUGCAAGUUAGAGGUGAAAGCCCAGAGCUCAACUCUGGAAUUGCCUUUGAGACUGAGUGGCUUGAGUACGAGAGAGGUGAGUGGAAUUCCCAGUGUAGAGGUGAAAUUCGUAGAUAUUGGGAAGAACACCGGUGGCGAAGGCGGCUCACUGGCUCGUAACUGACGCUCAUGCACGACAGCGUGGGGGAUCAAACAGG